rnacentral:rRNA from 1 species
GACGAAGGUGGCGAGCGUUGUUCGGAAUUACUGGGCUUAAAGGGCGCGUAGGCGGCCCAUCAAGUGCCUUGUGAAAUCCCUCGGCUCAACCGAGGAAUUGCUUGGUAGACUGAUGGGCUUGAGGUAGGCAUGAGUGAGUGGAACUCUUGGUGGAGCGGUGGAAUGCGUAGAUAUCAAGAGGAACGCCGGCGGUGAAGACGACUCACUGGGCCUGUCCUGACGCUGAGGCGCGAAAGCCAGGGGAGCAAACGGGAUUAGAUACCCCGGUAGUCCUGGCCCUAAACUAUGUCCACUAGGUUGAUGACUCUCUGACGGGUUGUCAGCCGCAGCAAAAGUGUUAAGUGGACCGCCUGGGGAGUACGGUCGCAAGGCUAAA